rnacentral:rRNA from 1 species
UACGUAGGGUCCGAGCGUUGUCCGGAAUUAUUGGGCGUAAAGGGCUCGUAGGCGGUUUGUCGCGUCGGGAGUGAAAAUCCAGGGCUUAACUCUGGACUGGCUUCCGAUACGGGCAGACUAGAGGUAUGCAGGGGAGAACGGAAUUCCUGGUGUAGCGGUGAAAUGCGUAGAUAUCAAGAGGAACACCUGAGGCGAAGGCGGGUUGCUAGGCUGACACUGACGCUGAGGCGCGAAAGCGUGGGGAGCAAACAGG